rnacentral:rRNA from 1 species
UACAGAGGGGGCUAGCGUUAUUCGGAAUGAUUGGGCGUAAAGGACGCGUAGGUGGUUAUAUAAGUCUUUAGUGAAAUCCCCAGGCUUAACUUGGGAAUUGCUUGAGAUACUGUAAAACUAGAGUGUGGGAGAGGUAAAUGGAAUCUUUGGUGUAGAGGUGAAAUUCUUAAAUAUCAGAGAGAACGUCGGAGGCGAAGGCGAUUUACUAGAACAUUACUGACACUGAGGCGUGAAAGCGUGGGGAGCAAACAGG